GAGGAGCCCAGAGCCUGAAUCAGUGUGUGUGUUAGUGGAAGCGUCUGGAAAGGCGUGCGAUACAGGGUGACAGCCCCGUACACAAAAAUGCACAUAUUGUGAGCUCGAUGAGUAGGGCGGGACACGUGGUAUCCUGUCUGAAUAUGGGGGGACCAUCCUCCAAGGCUAAAUACUCCUGACUGACCGAUAGUGAACCAGUACCGUGAGGGAAAGGCGAAAAGAACCCCGGCGAGGGGAGUGAAAAAGAACCUGAAACCGUGUACGUACAAGCAGUGGGAGCCUCUUAAUGGGGUGACUGCGUACCUUUUGUAUAAUGGGUCAGCGACUUAUAUUCUGUAGCAAGGUUAACCGAAUAGGGGAGCCGAAGGGAAACCGAGUCUUAACUGGGCGUUAAGUUGCAGGGUAUAGACCCGAAACCCGGUGAUCUAGCCAUGGGCAGGUUGAAGGUUGGGUAACACUAACUGGAGGACCGAACCGACUAAUGUUGAAAAAUUAGCGGAUGACUUGUGGCUGGGGGUGAAAGGCCAAUCAAACCGGGAGAUAGCUGGUUCUCCCCGAAAGCUAUUUAGGUAGCGCCUCGUGAAUUCAUCUCCGGGGGUAGAGCACUGUUUCGGCAAGGGGGUCAUCCCGACUUACCAACCCGAUGCAAACUGCGAAUACCGGAGAAUGUUAUCACGGGAGACACACGGCGGGUGCUAACGUCCGUCGUGAAGAGGGAAACAACCCAGACCGCCAGCUAAGGUCCCAAAGUCAUGGUUAAGUGGGAAACGAUGUGGGAAGGCCCAGACAGCCAGGAUGUUGGCUUAGAAGCAGCCAUCAUUUAAAGAAAGCGUAAUAGCUCACUGGUCGAGUCGGCCUGCGCGGAAGAUGUAACGGGGCUAAACCAUGCACCGAAGCUGCGGCAGCGACACUAUGUGUUGUUGGGUAGGGGAGCGUUCUGUAAGCCUGUGAAGGUGGCCUGUGAGGGUUGCUGGAGGUAUCAGAAGUGCGAAUGCUGACAUAAGUAACGAUAAAGCGGGUGAAAAGCCCGCUCGCCGGAAGACCAAGGGUUCCUGUCCAACGUUAAUCGGGGCAGGGUGAGUCGACCCCUAAGGCGAGGCCGAAAGGCGUAGUCGAUGGGAAACAGGUUAAUAUUCCUGUACUUGGUGUUACUGCGAAGGGGGGACGGAGAAGGCUAUGUUGGCCGGGCGACGGUUGUCCCGGUUUAAGCGUGUAGGCUGGUUUUCCAGGCAAAUCCGGAAAACCAAGGCUGAGGCGUGAUGACGAGGCACUACGGUGCUGAAGCGACAAAUGCCCUGCUUCCAGGAAAAGCCUCUAAGCAUCAGGUAACAUCAAAUCGUACCCCAAACCGACACAGGUGGUCAGGUAGAGAAUACCAAGGCGCUUGAGAGAACUCGGGUGAAGGAACUAGGCAAAAUGGUGCCGUAACUUCGGGAGAAGGCACGCUGAUAUGUAGGUGAAGCGACUUGCUCGUGGAGCUGAAAUCAGUCGAAGAUACCAGCUGGCUGCAACUGUUUAUUAAAAACACAGCACUGUGCAAACACGAAAGUGGACGUAUACGGUGUGACGCCUGCCCGGUGCCGGAAGGUUAAUUGAUGGGGUUAGCGGUAACGCGAAGCUCUUGAUCGAAGCCCCGGUAAACGGCGGCCGUAACUAUAACGGUCCUAAGGUAGCGAAAUUCCUUGUCGGGUAAGUUCCGACCUGCACGAAUGGCGUAAUGAUGGCCAGGCUGUCUCCACCCGAGACUCAGUGAAAUUGAACUCGCUGUGAAGAUGCAGUGUACCCGCGGCAAGACGGAAAGACCCCGUGAACCUUUACUAUAGCUUGACACUGAACAUUGAGCCUUGAUGUGUAGGAUAGGUGGGAGGCUUUGAAGUGUGGACGCCAGUCUGCAUGGAGCCGACCUUGAAAUACCACCCUUUAAUGUUUGAUGUUCUAACGUUGGCCCGUAAUCCGGGUUGCGGACAGUGUCUGGUGGGUAGUUUGACUGGGGCGGUCUCCUCCUAAAGAGUAACGGAGGAGCACGAAGGUUGGCUAAUCCUGGUCGGACAUCAGGAGGUUAGUGCAAUGGCAUAAGCCAGCUUGACUGCGAGCGUGACGGCGCGAGCAGGUGCGAAAGCAGGUCAUAGUGAUCCGGUGGUUCUGAAUGGAAGGGCCAUCGCUCAACGGAUAAAAGGUACUCCGGGGAUAACAGGCUGAUACCGCCCAAGAGUUCAUAUCGACGGCGGUGUUUGGCACCUCGAUGUCGGCUCAUCACAUCCUGGGGCUGAAGUAGGUCCCAAGGGUAUGGCUGUUCGCCAUUUAAAGUGGUACGCGAGCUGGGUUUAGAACGUCGUGAGACAGUUCGGUCCCUAUCUGCCGUGGGCGCUGGAGAACUGAGGGGGGCUGCUCCUAGUACGAGAGGACCGGAGUGGACGCAUCACUGGUGUUCGGGUUGUCAUGCCAAUGGCACUGCCCGGUAGCUAAAUGCGGAAGAGAUAAGUGCUGAAAGCAUCUAAGCACGAAACUUGCCCCGAGAUG
rnacentral:rRNA from 1 species